CAGUUCGGAUUGUAGUCUGCAACCCGACUACAUGAAGCUGGAAUCGCUAGUAAUCGCGGAUCAGAAUGCCGCGGUGAAUACGUUCCCGGGUCUUGUACACACCGCCCGUCACACCAUGGGAGUCGGAAAUGCCCGAAGUCUGUGACCCAACCGUAAGGAGGGAGCAGCCGAAGGCAGGUCGGAUGACUGGGGUGAAGUCGUAACAAGGUACC
rnacentral:rRNA from 1 species